rnacentral:rRNA from 1 species
CCUACGGGGGGCUGCAGUAGGGAAUAUUGGGCAAUGGAGGCAACUCUGACCCAGCCAUGCCGCGUGCAGGAAGACGGCCCUCUGGGUUGUAAACUGCUUUUGAAUGGGAAGAAUGUGUGGCUUGCGAGCUAUAAUGACGGUACCAUUAGAAUAAGCCACGGCUAACUACGUGCCAGCAGCCGCGGUAAUACGUAGGUGGCGAGCGUUAUCCGGAUUUAUUGGGUUUAAAGGGUGCGUAGGCGGCUUAAUAAGUCGGUGGUAAAAGGUAGCAGCUUAACUGUUUUACAUGCCAUCGAUACUGUUGAGCUUGAGUUAUUUGGAGGCAGCUAGAAUUUCCGGUGUAGCGGUGAAAUGCAUAGAUACCGGAAGGAAUACCGAUUGCGAAGGCAGGUUGCUACGAAUAUACUGACGCUGAUGCACGAAAGCGUGGGGAUCAAACAGGAUUAGAUACCCCGGUAGUC